GAUGAACGCUGGCGGCGUGCCUAAUACAUGCAAGUCGAGCGAACAGAUAAGGAGCUUGCUCCUUUGACGUUAGCGGCGGACGGGUGAGUAACACGUGGGUAACCUACCUAUAAGACUGGGAUAACUUCGGGAAACCGGAGCUAAUACCGGAUAACAUUUGGAACCGCAUGGUUCUAAAGUGAAAGAUGGUUUUGCUAUCACUUAUAGAUGGACCCGCGCCGUAUUAGCUAGUUGGUAAGGUAACGGCUUACCAAGGCAACGAUACGUAGCCGACCUGAGAGGGUGAUCGGCCACACUGGAACUGAGACACGGUCCAGACUCCUACGGGAGGCAGCAGUAGGGAAUCUUCCGCAAUGGGCGAAAGCCUGACGGAGCAACGCCGCGUGAGUGAUGAAGGGUCUCGGCUCGUAAAACUCUGUUAUUAGGGAAGAACAAAUGUGUAAGUAACUGUGCACGUCUUGACGGUACCUAAUCAGAAAGCCACGGCUAACUACGUG
rnacentral:rRNA from 1 species